CAGCAUGCGCGUGCAAGCCACUAUUGACAAUCGAGCCCAAUUAAUCAAUCAAUCAAUGAAUCAAUCAAUCACCUGUGGUUUGCUUAAAGAGCACUGUCUCCCCGUGAUGUCAUCACGGUUAAAUCAACCACGUCUGGAGACACAAGGACGAACAAGUGCGUCGCUGUCACCAAAUGGCACAAUUUGCGUCUCCAAAAUCUAAAUGUCCACUCACGCGCCCCGCAGCCCGGCGUCAUGAGCUGUCUGGCUCCAGGUGAAGCAGCCAGACCUCACGUCCUCUGACUCAAUCUCCAGAAUACUAACCAGACAGAGGGGGAGACGGGGAGGGUUACGUCAAUUGCCAUAUCUCCACCACAGCGCACGUUAACGCAAACUUCCACACCUUGCAGCGCCACCAGGUAAACACUUGUUUUUAGCCGCAACUCCGGAGCAACUUGCAGUUGGCGAAGUGGCGUUAACUUCAGCCAAGAGGUUGAACGGGGACACGCGAAACGCACGCGAACAUCCAGAUGGUGAAUGGAAUAACGCACGGAGACGCGUGCGGAGCGGAGGCACUUGUCGCCGGCGGAGGUCAAUGCAGCCGCCGCCGCUCGUGCAGCCCGGCAAAUCAACACGGCGCUGACGUCAACGCAGCCAGACGAGCAGCAGGCAGGCAGGCAGGCGGGCAGGCGGGCAGACAGGAAGGCAGGCGGGCAGACGGCGCUGCGCUCCAGCCCAUACAAACACUGAGAAAGUGAGACACCUAGGGGGCUGUCUCGUGUCAGACCGCUCCAGUACAGCAGGGAAGGAAAGUUUAUAGAUGGAGGAAGACGACUGGCUGAGGCAACCCCUGAAGGAAGCAGCUAAAAGGAAAAGAAGACAAAUAUAUAAAUAUAUUUUUUUAAAUCACAGCUGACAUAACACCUCCUCCUACAACAUUUGUUGCAUUGAGAUGAUCCAAUGUGAACCAGCUUGACUUUUAUUUUGAAAGGAAGUCAUGUUAACUUCUGUCAAAAAUUGCAAACUAUUUCCUAUUUUGAGAAUCGUAUCCUUAUCAAAAUAAAUUCAAAUAAUACAAACUUUUUUCAUGUUCUUGCUAGUAGUAUUUUUUUAACUAGAAAUGUAAUUUGUUGUUUGUUUUAAGUUUAUAGAUGGAGGCAGGUGAUUGGCUGAGGCAACCUCUAAAGGAAGCAGCUAAAAGGAAAAGAAGACAAACUUAUUAUUUUUUUUUAUCACAGCUGACAUAACACCUCCUCCUACAUUUGCUGCGUUGAGAUGAUCCCACGUGAACCAGCUUGACUUUUAUUUUGAAAGGAAGUCAUGUUAACUUCUCUCAAACUAUUUCUUUAUGUUACAGUUUUAUCAUACUAGUAUCAAUAAUAUAAAUACAAAUCUGUGUCUUAUUUUUCUAAAAAGUAAAGUACGACUGUCUGGUUUGUUUUUGGAGAAAAAUCGACUCGAUUGGCUUUUUUUUUUUAAGUAUUGAUCGUUGCAAAGCCUUCAACUAAAUAAAAAUAUAAACUCAGUCUGACAUUAUGAUGUAAUGUGUCACAAAAUAAAUGCAAAUAACUCAA